UAGAGCUCUGGGGUGUCUCCAUCAUGGCCUGGACCCCUCUCCUGCUCCCCCUCCUCACUCUCUGCACAGCCUCUGUGGAUACUUCUGUGCUGACUCAGCCCUCUGCCCUGUCUGUGGCCCUUGGAGAGACAGUCAGCAUCACCUGCCAGGGAGGAGACUUUGAAAACAGUUAUGCUCACUGGUACCAGCAGAAGCCAGGCCAGCGCCCUUCACUGUUCAUCUAUGAGGAUAGUAACCGGGAAUCAGGGGUCCCUGACCGAUUCUCUGGCUCCAACUCAGGUGGAACGGCCACCCUGACCAUCACUAAGGCCCUGGCUGAGGACGAGGCUGACUACUAUUGUCUGUCAUGGGAUGAUGAUAAUUAUACACCCACAGUGACACAGGCAGAUGGGGAACUCCUCCCCAGAGGUCACACAGAUAUCCUAAAAGUGGAGACUGGAUCUGGAGCACUGGUUACACCAACGCCCUCGGACCUGAAUGUGCACAGGUCUGCUGUCUACAAGGUGACACUCUCCCUGAUGUCGUAG